AAGAUCUCGAGCUUUUUCUCCAGGUUAUAAACUUUCUUUUCCUUAUAAUUGUUUGAUUACUCUUGUGCUAGGGAAAAUUAACUUAGAUCUGAGGUUUUUUUUUGUCAUCUUUAAAAUUGUAAUUAGUUAAUUUUGAAUUAUUAGAGUCAGCGAAGUAUUUGCAUUACGGUUAGUAUUCUUAUUUUCUUAUAUUGAAAUGGUUGAUAAGUUCAGCACAUAUUGUUUAAUAUUUUGGAAGAUCUUUGUUAAAGUUUCAGUAAUUUUCUUCCAUGAGAAAACGAACUUCAGCAUUUUCUUGUGU
rnacentral:misc_RNA from 1 species